GCCGGGUGUGGUGGCGCAUGCCUGUAGUUCUAGCUACUUGAGAGGCUGAGGUGGGAGGAUUGCUUGCGCCCAGGAGUUUGAGGGUGUCGUGAAAUAUGACUGUGCCACUACACUCCAAUCUGGGCACAGAGCAAGAUCCCAUCUCUA
rnacentral:SRP_RNA from 1 species